rnacentral:rRNA from 1 species
AUGGACGAAAGUCUGACGGAGCAACGCCGCGUGAGUGAUGAAGGUUUUCGGAUCGUAAAACUCUGUUGUUAGGGAAGAACAAGUGCGAGAGUAACUGCUCGCACCUUGACGGUACCUAACCAGAAAGCCACGGCUAACUACGUGCCAGCAGCCGCGGUAAUACGUAGGUGGCAAGCGUUGUCCGGAAUUAUUGGGCGUAAAGCGCGCGCAGGCGGUUUCUUAAGUCUGAUGUGAAAGCCCCCGGCUCAACCGGGGAGGGUCAUUGGAAACUGGGAAACUUGAGUGCAGAAGAGGAGAGUGGAAUUCCACGUGUAGCGGUGAAAUGCGUAGAGAUGUGGAGGAACACCAGUGGCGAAGGCGACUCUCUGGUCUGUAACUGACGCUGAGGCGCGAAAGCGUGGGGAGCGAACAGGAUUAGAUACCCUGGUAGUCCACGCCGUAAACGAUGAGUGCUAAGUGUUAGAGGGUUUCCGCCCUUUAGUGCUGCAGCUAACGCAUUAAGCACUCCGCCUGGGGAGUACGGUCGCAAGACUGAAACUCAAAGGAAUUGACGGGGGCCCGCACAAGCGGUGGAGCAUGUGGUUUAAUUCGAAGCAACGCGAAGAACCUUACCAGGUCUUGACAUCCUUUGCCACUUCUAGAGAUAGAAGGUUCCCCUUCGGGGGACAAAGUGACAGGUGGUGCAUGGUUGUCGUCAGCUCGUGUCGUGAGAUGUUGGGUUAAGUCCCGCAACGAGCGCAACCCUUGAUCUUAGUUGCCAGCAUUCAGUUGGGCACUCUAAGGUGACUGCCGGUGACAAACCGGAGGAAGGUGGGGAUGACGUCAAAUCAUCAUGCCCCUUAUGACCUGGGCUACACACGUGCUACAAUGGAUGGUACAAAGGGCUGCGAGACCGCGAGGUUUAGCCAAUCCCAUAAAACCAUUCUCAGUUCGGAUUGCAGGCUGCAACUCGCCUGCAUGAAGCUGGAAUCGCUAGUAAUCGCGGAUCAGCAUGCCGCGGUGAAUACGUUCCCGGGCCUUGUACACACCGCCCGUCACACCACGAGAGUUUGCAACACCCGAAGUCGGUGGGGUAACCGCAAGG